AACGAACGCUGGCGGCAGGCUUAACACAUGCAAGUCGAGCGCCCCGCAAGGGGAGCGGCAGACGGGUGAGUAACGCGUGGGAAUCUACCCAUCUCUACGGAAUAACGCAUGGAAACGUGUGCUAAUACCGUAUACGUCCUUCGGGAGAAAGAUUUAUCGGAGAUGGAUGAGCCCGCGUUGGAUUAGCUAGUUGGUGGGGUAAAGGCCUACCAAGGCGACGAUCCAUAGCUGGUCUGAGAGGAUGAUCAGCCACACUAGGACUGAGACACGGCCCAGACUCCUACGGGAGGCAGCAGUGGGGAAUAUUGGACAAUGGGCGCAAGCCUGAUCCAGCCAUGCCGCGUGAGUGAUGAAGGCCCUAGGGUUGAAAAGCUCUUUCACCGGUGAAGAUAAUGACGGUAACCGGAGAAGAAGCCCCGGCUAACUUCGUGCCAGCAGCCGCCGUAACAC
rnacentral:rRNA from 1 species